rnacentral:rRNA from 1 species
GAUGAACGCUGGCGGCGUGCCUAAUACAUGCAGGUCGAGCGAACGGACGAGAAGCUUGCUUCUCUGAUGUUAGCGGCGGACGGGUGAGUAACACGUGGAUAACCUACCUAUAAGACUGGGAUAACUUCGGGAAACCGGAGCUAAUACCGGAUGAUAUUUUGAACCGCAUGGUUCAAAAGUGAAAGACGGUCUUGCUGUCACUUAUAGAUGGAUCCGCGCUGCAUUAGCUAGUUGGUAAGGUAACGGCUUACCAAGGCAACGAUGCAUAGCCGACCUGAGAGGGUGAUCGGCCACACUGGAACUGAGACACGGUCCAGACUCCUACGGGAGGCAGCAGUAGGGAAUCUUCCGCAAUGGGCGAAAGCCUGACGGAGCAACGCCGCGUGAGUGAUGAAGGUCUUCGGAUCGUAAAACCCUGUUAUUAGGGAAGAACAUAUGUGUAAGUAACUGUGCACAUCUUGACGGUACCUAAUCAGAAAGCCACGGCUAACUACGUG